GGCCGGCGAGGUGCCCUCGUGCCAUACUGCGCCUCCUCCUCGUUGCAGGUUCACAAAUUCUCUUCGGCAUCAACCCCCUCCUCCCAGUGGUGUUUCUCGGCUCAGGUUCGUUAAGGAGGGCGAUGGCCAAAACCGACGAGCAGGCAAAGGGGCGCGGGAGGAGGUGGGGAUGUUCACGUGGUCGCUGCCGUUUUCCUCUGCGUGUGGGCUGCAACGCUCCGCCUCUUGGGUGUCUAUGUCUGACCUGUAGGUCGCUUAGUACUAUUUUCAGUUUUCUACUAAUUUUCUUCAUCCUCAUUGAGGACGAUGGCCAGUAUUGUAAUAAAACUCUGCCGCGCCGAUGAACCACAUGCCAGGGUGAAGCUGGGCCCUUUCCUUUGACUCUCGGGCCGCACGACAUGCGGCGUAACAGUGCUUUCUGUAACCUAUGAUGUGAUAUGCUUAUCCCCAGUUCUUGAGGAUGAGAAGUGCAGAGGACGCCGACCAACAGGAUAUCUGCCUGCCCUCCUUGGUCUCUUCUUCGCUGAGGUCCUGAAGGGAACAAAAUAAAAGGAAGAAUCAACUACUGUUAUAGAUCUCAUCGGACUUUUGGCACAUGCUAAUUUGAUCCCAUAGUUGCUCCCUUGGGAUUUUAUUUGCUGAAAAUAAAGUAAUAUGACAAUGGUGCACUUUUUACUAAUCAUUUCUCUCUCUUUCUCUCUCUCUCUCUCUCCUCACGCUAUUUUUCCUUGCUUUAUUUCCUGGUGCAUUCAGUUGUUGUUUGAGUGAUCCGUUGCUACUAGAGAGGGGGUAGGAAGGGGAAGAAAUGGUGAGGGUGGUUAAAUAGGAGACAACAGAUGAACAAGGCUCUGCAAUAAUCGAGUAUACAAUCUUGAUAUUUAUUAGUGUUGAUUGUAAAUCCUAACUUAUCCAUUGUUGAUGACUACCUUCAUGAGCUAAAAUUGUUUUCUCAGUCCUUCCAGUGGUGGGGGAAAGUUUGCAAUUUCCUCUUAUAUUCGUGGAUUAGAAAUAAAGUAAUGGCCUUGGUUUUGAUCUUUUCCUUAAAUCCUCCCGAGGAGAAGAGCUUGCAUAUUUAGAGAUAAAGUAAUGGUCUUGGUAUUUUUCUCUCGGGUCAUGAAUCCAUAUUCCUGAAUUCAUUCAUUCAGUUAGUGGAACCAAUUGUUUGACCCAUGAAAUAAUUGAAUGUGAACCUCGUGGUGAUGGCCUUCUCAAUCCAUCAAUAUAUGCAAGGGAAAAUAUUUCCCAUUGGGUUACGAAAGCUAUCGACUUCGCCACACACGUGCAGCACAUACCCAGUAUUUUGAGUGCAAUUCUUUAUUUAUUUAACAUUAUGAAAAUAGACUGUACCCCUUAAACACAAAGUAAUAUUUGUUUAGUGAACUAUUGCUUUUUCUUCUAUAUCGACUUCGCCACACCUCAAAUUAAUUCCUGCCUGUGCCACUGAUUGCAGGUAGCUCAACCUGCAGCGGGUAUGGUGCAUCUCUCUUUCAAUUUGCAGAGGCGUUAUGUAUUGUUCAGGUUGAUGCAAGUUUUGCCAAGAACACUGUCAGUUUAGCGUUUUUACAUAUACAAGGAAUGGGCUCAUUUCUUGCUACUGGAGGUAAAAGUGAAAGCUCUCCCACAGAGGCUUCCAUCAGUCGUGAAACCCCCUGAAACCAAUGCCCUCACCGUGAUACUCAAUUGGGCCUAAACGCAAUGAUGACAUACGGGCAAGAGUAGGUAUCUAAUGGCGUACUAGGCAGAAGUAUUCUUAAGGAACUGCAAGACGAUUGGGCACACACUUUCUGUAGCAAUUUAAGGUGGAUGAUGUUCAUCUGAAGGGCACGUGAGCAUGCGAGCAGAAGUAGGGUGCCAUGGCCCGGUGGCUGAUGCAGGAGGGCCCCCAAGCGGCCGCAUCUCGCUGGCGACGACGCGCCCUUGCCUGUCGCCAUGACCAGCUCCGCCGGAAUCCACCCUGUCCCCGCAUCCACCACAUGCCCGUUCUCCUGGUUGCCCAAGAAGACUCCUCUGUGAAGCAUUCGGAUCCAAUAGGGGUGGGACUCGCCAUGGAAGCUGUCAGGAAGUUGCUGGGCCGGAGUGCAUCAUGCCCGACCAGUAGGCGCCUCUAUGGCUAAUGGGAAUCAUGUUAACCAUGACAAGGCUAUGAAUAUAGAGCAAGCCCAGUUCAGCGGUUAUUUUUCACGUUUUGCUCUGUCUGUGUUGAAAUUGUUAUGAUUCUUUAUCUUGAUCAAGCAAAAGGAUGGAGUUCUAUGAUUCCUGGAGUGGGUAAAUUGCUUCUGGUUCAGAUUUGGCAUGAAAUCGACUAUGGGAGAAGGAUCCUGAUGGCAUUGCUCCCGCGAAUUUCAUUAACUCGAUUUUACCAAACAACACCAAAAUUAUUUCUUUAGUAGAUGGCCUAGAUUAUAUAUAUGUGUUUCUUUGUCCUUACUUCUGUUGCUCUCGACAUAGCCAUCGAGUGUUUGGUACCAUAAUAUAUUCCUCUAUUUCCCUGGUUGUAUAUAAAUGUUGAGAACUUCAUUUGUAAUUUCGUGUACUUUGUCCUAAUAUCAUUCUUUU